GACGAACGCUGGCGGCAUGCUUAACACAUGCAAGUCGAACGGAAAGGCCUCUUUCGGGGGGUACUCGAGUGGCGAACGGGUGAGUAACACGUGAGUAACCUGCCCUUGACUUUGGGAUAACUUCAGGAAACUGGGGCUAAUACCGGAUAGGAGCUCCUGCUGCAUGGUGGGGGUUGGAAAGUUUCGGCGGUUGGGGAUGGACUCGCGGCUUAUCAGCUUGUUGGUGGGGUAGUGGCUUACCAAGGCUUUGACGGGUAGCCGGCCUGAGAGGGUGACCGGCCACAUUGGGACUGAGAUACGGCCCAGACUCCUACGGGAGGCAGCAGUGGGGAAUAUUGCACAAUGGGUGGAAGCCUGAUGCAGCAACGCCGUGUGCGGGAUGACGGCCUUCGGGUUGUAAACCGCUUUCGCUCAUGACGAAGCUUUGUGUGACGGUAGUGGGUAAAGAAGCACCGGCUAACUACGU
rnacentral:rRNA from 1 species